CUGAUUAGUAACAACUACAACUUGGAGCAUUGGUUCAUUUUCAAAGAACAGUCAAAUCAUAACAAAUUAAAUGAUCCAAAUUCCAAUUAUUUGUGGGAAGAAAAACAGAUCCAAUCUUGAGAUCAGAGAACUAUUGUUAUCUCUAAUGAAAUUCAGUAACCAUUCAUAUUGGCAUGGCGUUUCCAUGAUGAUCCAGAAUAGCCUUGUUUGGUUUUGAAGGUAUGUUCCAGUCGAUCCUUUUAUGUUGCCCCUUCAAUUAAAGCAGAAUUGCACUCCAGAUGAUUCAUCCAAUCAUUUGAAGCAAAAUUCUAAAAUGCCACUCUAAAAUUGCGAAUGUUUUGUUUCAAGGGCGUUGGCCCGGUCUCAACAUUGGUAGGGACGAAUAUAAUGCAAAUAAGGUUGCUCAAAAGUUGGUGGGGACAACUUUAGCAUCCUGAAAAGUUGGUCGUGUUAUGUCCCUACCGUCCCUAUGCAAACCUACGCCCUUGUUUUGUUUGCAUGAAUCAUUUAAACCUGACUGGUUGGUGUUCUUAUGCAUGGAAACACGUUUGUAAUUGUUUAACUACUGUAUUUAAUAUAAACCUAUAUUUUCAAUUGCAGAAAACGUUGACAGUCAAUCAACAGGGGGACAUGGAAAGAGAGGAUUGGAAGUGAAAUAGAGGGUUUUUCGGGACAGCCAUAGGGGAAGGACUGUGGCAUCUUCAUGUUGAUGACUGAUAUGCCAACUCUGAGGAAGUGGUGGUGUAUAUUGCUAGCGGACAAUUUCAAACUUGGGUGCAUGGUGAGCCACAGGAAAGAGUUUGCCCAUUGGACAGAUAAGGCAAAAGCAUUACUGCAGGGUGAAGUGCCACCAGUCUAUCAGCUACAGAAGUGAAAUUUGAAUAUAAUUGCUGAGGAAGAGGUGCAACCACAGCUCCUUCAAGUUAGUGGUGGCCCACUCCAAAAAGAUAUGACGGGAAAAAAAUGUUUUGGUAAAAGGACUGUGCAAGACUGCACAAAAGCCUCAGACAGGGCUGGGGGGGGGAUUAAUGCAGUAGGAGUUCCCAAGCAUCCUGCAGAUGGAAGAGGAUGAGCACGAACUACAAUGUCUUGGAGCCAUUCAAGUUCUGUUUCAACCAUCUGGAAGAUGGAUUUACCUUUUUUGAGGAGAUUGUUGACCAAAGAAA